GAUGAACGCUGGCGGCGUGCCUAAUACAUGCAAGUCGAGCGAACGGACGAGAAGCUUGCUUCUCUGAUGUUAGCGGCGGACGGGUGAGUAUCACGUGGAUAACCUACCUAUAAGACUGGGAUAACUUCGGGAAACCGUAGCUAAUACCGGAUAAUAUUUUGAACCGCAUGGUUCAAAAGUGAAAGACGGUCUUGCUGUCACUUAUAGAUGGAUCCGCGCUGCAUUAGCUAGUUGGUAAGGUAACGGCUUACCAAGGCAACGAUGCAUAGCCGACCUGAGAGGGUGAUCGGCCACACUGGAACUGAGAGAAGGUCCAGACUCCUACGGGAGGCAGCAGUAGGGAAUCUUCCGCAAUGGGCGAAAGCCUGACGGAGCAACGCCGCGUGAGUGAUGAAGGUCUUCGGAUCGUAAAACUCUGUUAUUAGAGAAGAACAUAUGUGUAAGUAACUGUGCACAUCUUGACGGUACCUAAUCAGAAAGCCACGGCUAACUACGUG
rnacentral:rRNA from 1 species